CUCCACAGUUGUGGCUGGUAUGGGAGCAAAGACCUCGCUGGGAGCUGAAGAAGAGAGGCCAGAGGGAGGCUAGGCCAGGGCUGGGUCUCCCCAGGCCCACUGAGCCUCUACUUCCCUGGUCCAAGCCCUGCCCACCCUCACUGGGACAAGCUGAGGGUCCCUGCUCUCUCGGAUACAGCGUGCCUGGCUCUCCAUGCCCAGGCCUCCGGCCUUCAGGAUCAAGGGAUUUGUCUGUCUCCAUCCAAGGCUGAGAAUUUCCUGAGAGACCCUCCUGGCAUCCUUGGCCCUACAGGAGCCUCAACCCUAAGGAAGUACUUGAUGGGCAAUGUCCUAUCUCUGGGGACGCAGACACAUUGGAACAAGGCUUGGAUCCUCAGGGGGACUCACUGCGGAUCUGGGACCAGUGUGGGGGCAGGCGGAGUGGCAAGAGUGGGCACCAUUUCAGCUCCAGGGAGGAGAGAGCAGCUUCUGCCCUCAGGGAAGGUCCAUUCUGCUCCGAGUUUCUACCCUGCAGGACUCGAUGCUGCAGUGGGGGAAAUGGUAACCUGACAAUAAUGGUCUAGGAGCAGCUCAUGGGCUCCUGUUUGCUGUCGCUUUGUUUCCUGAACAUCUCCUCUAUCCAGGCACUCGCUACACUACUUAUCUUAUAAACAUGACCUUUGAUC
rnacentral:lncRNA from 1 species